CUCAUGCCAAAAAAAAAUAAUAAUACAUAUAGGUAGACCAGGCCACAGUCAGGGUUGGGGCCAGGACCCACGCAGUCAAAACCAAGAUAGGUGUGAACUCUGACAUCACCAUAGACCACUUGGUUCUAUCACCCCUUGCUCACAGAGCAGCAUAACCGAAAAAAAUAAAGAAAAAGCCCAUCCCACAACCCUUUUAGAAAGAGGUGUUAACUGGGGUGACAAAAUAUCGAUAGAAGCUUCUUUUUCUAUUUUGGGCAACGAAAUCGAGAAGAUUGUGUUCAAUAUCAUGUUUCACCAUACAGUUUAUUGAGCUACCAUCCUUAGGGUUGCCAGCCAGAUAAAAGAUGCACGCUUUUUCUCGAAUUUAUCAGGAUCAAAGCACAAACCUGCCUCUGCCACACGAACCAUUUAUGAUGGCACCAUCUAGGUGGAUUGUGGUCCUACCAUUCCUUUAGGAUACCUUUUGCCUUCAGUAAAAACUCUUGCCCCUUUUUUGUAAUAGAUAUUGAGUCUGUACAGUGACUCACUCAACUUUGAGUAUGAAAUUGACUUUGUUGGUUGAGUAGAGUUAUGGUAGUUCAAUCUAUAAAGAAAGGAUAAUAGAUCGCACUUGGCGCAGAACCACCUAAAGGUGGCUCUUUACUCCUUCAAGACUUGCUUCUUCUUUUCUUUCACCCUUUAUCCCCUUUUAUAUCAGUAGGGAGCCAAGAGCAAGGCAGCUCUCCUCCAGAAAGAAAAGAAGCCAGCAGCUCCCUUUCCGCUUGAUCACUAACUCAUGGGCAAAGCCAUCUUUUUCUGCCCAUCAUGGAGCAUA
rnacentral:misc_RNA from 1 species